GCGGAAGUAGUUUAAAAAAAAUAUCAGUUUGUGGUUUUGGAGUUGCUGCUUUAGUUUUUUCGUA
rnacentral:tRNA from 1 species